GCCGGGCUACGGGGCGAGCGCGGGGUGCGGUGGUCGGCGGGGAGGCCCCCGCGCUUUAAAAUAAUGCCCGCGGCGCCCGCGCGACCAUGCAAUGGCGAGCGCUCGUCCUGGGGCUGGUGCUCCUCCGGCUUGGCCUCCAUGGAGUAUUGUGGCUCGUCUUCGGGCUGGGGCCCAGCAUGGGCUUCUACCAGCGCUUUCCGCUCAGCUUCGGCUUCCAGCGUCUGAGGAGCCCCGACGGCCCCGCGUCGCCCACCUCGGGGCCCGUGGGCCGGCCGGGGGGGCUAUCCGGGCCGUCGUGGCUGCAGCCGCCGGGGACCGGGGCAGCGCAGAGCCCGCGCAAGGCUCCGCGGCGUCCUGGGCCGGGGGUGUGCGGCCCAGCCCACUGGGGCUACGUGCUGGGCGGCCGGGGCCGCGGCCCGGACGAGUACGAGAAGCGCUACAGCGGCGCCUUCCCUCCGCAGCUGCGUGCCCAGAUGCGCGACCUGGCACGGGGCAUGUUCGUCUUUGGCUACGACAACUACAUGGCUCACGCCUUCCCCCAGGACGAGCUCAACCCCAUCCACUGCCGCGGCCGUGGGCCCGACCGCGGGGACCCUUCAAAUCUGAACAUCAAUGAUGUACUAGGGAACUACUCAUUGACUCUUGUUGAUGCAUUGGAUACACUUGCAAUAAUGGGAAAUUCAUCCGAGUUCCAGAAAGCAGUCAAGUUAGUGAUCAACACAGUUUCAUUUGACAAAGAUUCCACCGUCCAAGUCUUUGAGGCCACGAUAAGGGUCCUGGGAAGCCUCCUUUCUGCUCACAGAAUAAUAACUGACUCCAAGCAGCCCUUUGGUGACAUGACAAUUAAGGACUAUGAUAAUGAGUUGUUAUACAUGGCCCAUGACCUGGCGGUGCGGCUCCUCCCUGCUUUUGAAAACACCAAGACAGGGAUUCCAUAUCCUCGGGUGAACCUAAAGACGGGAGUUCCUCCUGACACCAAUAAUGAGACAUGCACAGCGGGAGCCGGGUCCCUCCUGGUGGAAUUCGGGAUUCUGAGUCGACUCCUGGGGGACUCCACAUUUGAGUGGGUGGCCAGACGAGCAGUGAAAGCCCUUUGGAACCUCCGGAGCAAUGAUACAGGAUUACUAGGCAAUGUCGUGAACAUUCAGACGGGCCAUUGGGUUGGAAAGCAGAGUGGCCUGGGUGCCGGGCUGGACUCCUUCUAUGAAUACCUCUUGAAAUCUUACAUUCUCUUUGGAGAAAAAGAAGACCUAGAAAUGUUUAAUGCUGCAUAUCAGAGUAUUCAGAACUACUUAAGAAGAGGGCGGGAAGCCUGCAAUGAAGGAGAAGGAGACCCUCCACUCUAUGUCAACGUGAACAUGUUCAGUGGGCAGCUGAUGAACACCUGGAUUGACUCGCUGCAGGCCUUUUUCCCUGGACUGCAGGUGCUGAUAGGAGAUGUGGAAGAUGCCAUCUGCCUUCAUGCCUUCUACUAUGCCAUAUGGAAACGAUAUGGUGCCCUCCCUGAGAGAUAUAACUGGCAGCUGCAGGCCCCUGACGUUCUCUUCUACCCACUGAGACCAGAGUUAGUGGAAUCCACAUAUCUCCUCUACCAGGCAACCAAGAAUCCCUUCUACCUCCAUGUAGGAAUGGAUAUUCUGCAGAGUCUGGAAAAGUACACAAAAGUCAAGUGUGGGUACGCCACGCUGCAUCACGUCAUUGACAAGUCCACAGAAGACCGGAUGGAGAGCUUCUUUCUCAGUGAGACCUGUAAAUAUUUGUAUCUGGUAUGUGUGUUGCAAGAUGAACCCAGGAAUAUUUAGUAUUGCUUAGAGCAAGCAUUCGCAUAGUCUUCCAUCUGACAGAUACUUACUGGCUACAGCUACAUGCUGGACAUUGUGCAUUCCCAGGAUGCAAACGCUGUCAGAACCAAAGGAUAUUACUAUCUUCUUUCACGGUUUCCAACCUUGUUGAAAA
rnacentral:sRNA from 1 species